CCUCGUGCCGCCCCACCCGCCGCCCCGCGCAGCCCCGCUUUGGCCCGGCGUGUCCUCGCCCCGUGUCCCCACCGCACCCCCCAGCUAGGGCGGGAAAUAAUGGGGGGCACACAGGGGCUGCAGAGAGUCCCUGUAAUAGAGGGUGGCCAUGGGGCAGCGGAGGCUGGGGGGGGGGGAUGCCAGGAGCCCCGCAGCGGGUGCAAUGCGCUUGGCCUGCAGCAGCAGCAAAGCACCCGCCUAUCCUGGGCGGUCAGGGACUGAUUUCCCAGCCUGGGAAAUGGCGCUGCUAACACGCUUUGCGGGGGACCGAUCUGUGCACACUCGAUGCUGUGCAGGCGUGACGCGUUGCGGUGACACUCAUAUAUACACCUCUAUGCACGGCCCGGUUAGCUUGCGGUAUAUGAGGCCAAUGUUGCCUCGAACCAAACUCUCCCGCACGGAAAGCGCGAGCUCCAGAGUUUUUUUUAAACAGAACUGAUUAUCAUGACGCGGUGUCUUGACCUAUCUGCAAAGUUCCUGUAAUAUGAUUGAUCCAUCAAAGUUCAGCAGGAGCCAGUCAAGAUUUCCACAAUGAGAAUGACACCGGACUCUGAUGCCAUUAUAAAGAAGGGUGACCAGCUGCAACAAAAAGCCCAGUAAUGUAAUUUUCUAACAGCGCAUUGUUCAACAGAAUUGUUUUAAUAGUGUUGAUUUUGAAGCAAACUUGUUAUCCCUGUUUGAACAUGAAUUAUUAAUUUUGUGAGCAUUCAUGGACUGCCAUACAAUUUCCAUACCAAGAUGUGGCCUUCAGGCCAAAAAGUUUGCCCACCCCUGCUCUUUGAGGCUAAGAGACUUCACACUGGCAUGAGCUGAUGAUUGUAGAUAGCCAGUUUUGUUUUGUUUUAAAUCACAAAGGUUACUGUGUGGUUUGAGCAGCUCAGAUAACUAGUUGAGACUUGUUAGCAGCUCUUCUUCUGCAAGUUCUUUGCUAACAAUGUUAGUCCUGAGAUGUGAUAGUUCUAAUUUAAAAAAAUACACCAACUACUACUUUUUUAGGGUGAAAUCCAGUCCUUGAGACACAAAACCCAAGCAAUAGAUGGGUAGGGGCUGGACUUCACGUUUGCACAAGCAGGCAGACCACAAAGGUGCAGCACAGCAGCCCCUACACGAAUGCUAGUCCUACGGUCUGAAAUAGUAACCCUGUCAGUGCAUCCUACGGGAAGGAGAGGUCACAGCCAUGUAACCCAAAUACACUUUGAUAUGAUAGCCACUCCCCAGACCACCAACGGUUCUCUUUCAUACAGACCUAUUGGGAGUGGUGCAUUUCACAGUUCAAGGCAACUGCACUUGCAUUCCCCUUCUGUGGUCCCGCAAGGACGUCCGUUAGGCUCCCAAUUCGCAGCUGUCACUUGUCUUGGGUGGAGACUGUAGCCCAGUGGGCUAGCUUGCCUUAUUAUAUUUACUGAUUUGCAUUAUAUUCUGCUUUGCAUUAUAUUCAGCAGUAAUGCAAAAAACCUACAGGCCUGUAUCCUGUAAGACAUUAGCUUCAGCAAGUUAGCAUAAGGCUUGAGGCCUAUGAACUUUGAACAAAUAAGCUUUGCAUAGAUAAACGGCUUAACGGAAAACCCAAAGUAUUUGGGGAGCUGAAAAUAGAGUUUAAGGGGAAGCUCUGACCAUAGGUACAUGAGUCAACCGCAGAAGUAUCCUAGCAAAGAACUAACAUACAUAACAGGUACAUGAGAUGCAUCUAAGGCUAGCCUGCUUGCUUGCCUAUAUAUCUUUUCUUAUAAGUUUGUUAUUUUCUUAUGGGUUUGAUUAUUUUGUUUUAUUAUUAUAGGUUUAUAUUAGAGUAUAUUUUGGCUGUAACAGAAGGGACCUGCAGGCCACGUCCUAUAUGUUGAGCUAAGACAAAGUUAGCAUACAUAUGUUUAGGACCUUUCACCUAGAUAAGUGGUUCUCAAAUUUUUGUACUGGUGACCCCUUUCACAUAGCAAGCCUCUGAGUGUGACCCGCCCCUUAUACAUUAAAAACCUUUUAAAUAUA